rnacentral:rRNA from 2 species
AAGGCAGCAGGCACGCAAAUUACCCACUCCCGGCACGGGGAGGUAGUGACAAAAAAUAACGAUACGGGACUCAUCCGAGGCCCCGUAAUCGGAAUGAGUACACUUUAAAUCCUUUAACAAGGAUCCAAUGGAGGGCAAGUCUGGUGCCAGCAGCCGCGGUAAUUCCAGCUCCAUUAGCGUAUAUUAAAGUUGUUGCGGUUAAAAAGCUCGUAGUUGGUUCUGUGUCCCACGCUGUCGGUUCACCGCCUGUCGGUGCAACUGGCAUGCCGUGGGAUGUCCUGUCGGUGGCGGCCAUGACCCACGGCGGGUGUAGGGCAACCGAAGCUCGUCGCUGUGCGUCAGGUCGCCGAUUCAAUCCUGCCGCGGUGCUCUUCAUUGAGUGUCGAGGUAGGCCGACACGUUUACUUUGAACAAAUUAGAGUGCUUAAAGCAGGCUAAUAAUGCCUGGAUAUUUUUUGCAUGGAAUAAUGGAAUAAGACCUCGGUUCUAUUUUGUUGGUUUUCGGAACCCGAGGUAAUGAUCAAUAUGGACAGGCGGGGGCAUUCGUAUUGCGACGUUAGAGGUGAAAUUCUUGGAUCGUCGCAAGACGGACUAGAGCGAAAGCAUUUGCCAAGUAUGUCUUAGUUGAUCAAGAACGAAAGUUAGAGGUUCGAAGGCGAUCAGAUACCGCCCUAGUUCUAACCAUAAACGAUGCCAGCCAGCGAUCCGCCGAUGUUCCUCCGAUGACUCGG